CAGAAAAAACUAGGUUAUAGACAAUUGUGAGUUGUCUGUCAAGUACCAACAUUCUGUAGCAGAUCAGCAAAUUUUAUGAAUAUACCAUCUCACAAUUUUUAUAGAGAAACCUGAGAUUCCAACCCAGCCUUUUGUUUGCCUGGGAUUAUAGCCCAGUUCUUACAAGCAGAGAAGCCUAGGACACUAACCCAGCUUCAAGAGUAUACUCAGAAUCUCAAGAAUCACAAUCUGUGCUGCCCAUUCUUCAACAGACUGUCAUCUGGAGGCCUGGAUUGGAUCAGGAGUCGGGCUCACCAAUGGAGCCCCAAUCAGUCAGUCAGGAGUGAAGAUGAAAGCUUCAAAGGCAUUGAUGACUCACUUCUCACUUGAGUCCAGACCCAUCUGGAUUGCCUGCAAAAAGGUCUCGGCAGUGACCUGAAAACAUAUGUAAAUUACCCAACCAAUUCUAACCAGGACCUGCUGUCUGGCAAUUCAUCCCCAUGUUCUAGACUUGUCCAACAAGCACCCAAGCAACUUUGAGUUCCAUCCUGCAACUCUCAGUCAGGCUCAAGAAAAGCCCCAAUUUUAUCUGGGCAUGGUGACACAUGACUGUAAUCCCAGCUACUCGGGAGGCUGAGGCAGUUGAAUCGCUUGAACCCAGGAAGCGAAGGCUGCAGUGAGCCGAGAUCAUGCCACUGCACUCCAGCCUGGGCAACACAGCGAGACUGUCUCAAAAUAAAAUUAAAAUUAAAUUUUUUAAAAAGGCCCCAAUGAUGACACUUAGCCUCUUUGACUCUAUUUGACUCUUUCUAGCUUGACUCUAGUUUGUCAGCCAUAAGUGCAGACCUACAUUUGCUUUAUGCAUUAAGAUUGGCCACUUCUGAAUGGAGACCAGA
rnacentral:lncRNA from 1 species